ACAUGAAUGUCUUUAUGUGGAAUAUGUGAAGCUGCUCAGAAGUUAUUCAGCACACAUCAGCUCUGAGAUCUUCAAGCUCCACAGAACUUCUACAGAUUCUUUCUGUCAUUGUGAAGAAACAUCUUGAUGUGUGUGCUGUUCCUGGUGAUCUUCUGCUCCAAGCAGUGCACUUCAUAUGCUGCUCAUGCAGCUCCUGUGUGGUGUUGCUUUGAUUUUAUUGACUUUCAAAUUCCAUCCAAAAGAAUUGUCAGUGCUGUGGAGACAGAUUCACGUUGCCCUAACGCUGCCAUUGUGGUUUGACACUUAGAAACCCAAG